UACGGAGGAUGCGAGCGUUAUCCGGAUUUAUUGGGUUUAAAGGGUGCGCAGGCGGAAUGUCAAGUCAGCGGUAAAAUUUCGGGGCUCAACCCCGACAAGCCGUUGAAACUGGCUUGCUAGAGUGGGCGAGAAGUAUGCGGAAUGCGUGGUGUAGCGGUGAAAUGCAUAGAUAUCGCGCAGAACCCCGAUUGCGAAGGCAGCCUGCCGGCCCCACACUGACGCUGAGGCACGAAAGCGUGGGUAUCGAACAGG
rnacentral:rRNA from 1 species